CAGCCGCCGCGGGAACACGUAGGUGGCAAACGUUGUCCGGAAUUAUUGGGCGUAAAGGGCUCGCAGGCGGUUUCUUAAGUCUGAUGUGAAAGCCCCCGGCUCAACCGGGGAGGGUCAUCGGAAACUGGGAAACUUGAGUGCAGAAGAGGAGAGUGGAAUUCCACGUGUAGCGGUGAAAUGCGUAGAGAUGUGGAGGAACACCAGUGGCGAAGGCGACUCUCCGGUCUGUAACUGUCGCUGGGGAGCGAAAGCGUGGGGAGCGAACAGGAUUAGAUACUCGCGUAGUCCCUGUCUCUUAUAC
rnacentral:rRNA from 1 species